UUAAAGUUGUUUUAAUUUUCCAAUACGCUUCCAGUUUUACAAGAGCAGGCGCGGAUUCGGCCAUCUGGAAAUCGGGAAUUCUCCAGAGGUGCCAGUAGCCGUGAUUGUACAGCGGCAUAUGGGUGCUCAAAUCCAAAUUUGAUAUAUUUUUAAAUCAACUAAAAUUAGGGUUAAAUUUUCAAGUUUCAACAGGUCCCGUCUGGCCUUGUACCCACAAGAGCUUUAAAAUAUUUAAGUCUAGCGCUUAACUGGCAAUACAACCCAUAAACAAUAAAUAAAUAAACAACGCAUUUUGUUGUUUAUCACUUGUUUACCUCACCUCGGAUCAGGAUAAAAAAAAUCGCGUGAUGUUUAAAACGCAAACAUCGAAACAACUGAAAUUUUAGAACCUUAAACUCCGUGUAUACUCGCCAAUAAGAUUCAAGUAUUCACACUGGUGAUUCUUAUUAGUUGGAACACGUGAUUAAAAAAAACCAUCCGAUUUAGUAAAUAAACCAAGUUGAUAUCGUCACCUGUAAUUAAUAGUAGUAUAAAAUAUUAUGAUAAAAAAUCAUUCGAUUUCACAAUAGUCGAUCGCACCACAUCGAUAUCUCUGGAUCAAGUUGUAGUUAAAAAAACGUAUAAAACCGUGGCGCAAACGAUAUUUUAAAAUUUGCUUUAGCACUGUGAGCACAACCAAGAAAUCCAAAAAUUUUCUAGUGUCGUGUGUUACAAAUUGCAGCGAUGUUCUUCAUACUUAUAACGUUUCUUCUAAAAGAAAUCGAAGCCCAGAUUUUGGAAUCAAAUUCUCCGGCCACUCUUUUGCAAACAACUUGGAAAGAGUUCAAGUGCAAUCUUCAUCUUGGGGGAGUCAUCGCCCUGUGUAUAAUUCUUGCGGUGAUCGGUGCGAGUGUUUUGUGGAGCCAUUUCAAAAAUGUUCAAAAACGGAUAGAUGAGGCCCGAGGAUUAAUUUUGUUAACUUACUCCGGAGCAGGAUAACGAAGAAAGAAGAGUCGACCCAAUGCUGGCGCUCUUAUGACCAGCACAACCCGCAAUCAAAAGCAAAAUAUAAGUGCGCCAGGAUCCUUUCGGACAGUUCACCGAGUACCCGGAUCCAAAGUACCCGUGACGUCAACCCGCGACUUACCUUCCUGACCACUCCAAAUAAACUGUUUGUGAGGCUUUGAGAGACACUAGUGUACACAACAAAAAAGCUUAAGUGUAUUAAAGUAAGCGUAUAUUAAAAAAAGAAAUAUUAAUUAUUACCGAUUAUGUUUGCUCAAACGAGUUCUUAUUAGAGUAAUAACUAAUAACUUAAUGUAUCCACAAUGCGUGUCGCAUCAACAACUAAUUACCUACAAAUAAGAUUGAAUUUGAUGUAUUAUUUAUAGAUUAAUUUUCCAAAUGUCUGUACCUUGUUCUGAUUUUUUAAUGUAUCUAUUCUAUAUUGUACCAUGUACAUAUAUAUAAGUAAAAAUUAAAUGUGAAUGAUUUUUUAUGAA